GCUGGACAAAUUGGACCAGAUCUUUGUAUUCUACAAAAUGUUCCCAUGGAACUUGCAUGUAAUAGGUAUGAUCAUAAUCCAUGUGCAAUUAGAAUGCCUCAUUCAAGCUCAUCUUCUUUGAUUUUCACCCCUGUUUUCCUCAUUUUUUUUCUUCUAAAUGUUACUUAGGUAAGAGAUUGUCUGUGAUAUCUUUUAACAUUUAAUGGCCUACAUGCAUAUGCCUUACUGUAAAAGAUGGUUAUGGUUCCUAUCAUUGCCUUGCUUGGAUGGUAAUUUUUCUCUAACAUUGAAUUUGAAGGUUACUACAAAUUUUCUCUAGUCUUUGAUUUAUAUAGAAAAAAAAAAAAAAAAAUCAAGAAAAAAAGUUGUGCAGAUUUUGGUAUGGAAGAACUCAAUCAAAAGCUAUUUGGAGUUGUGUUUCUCUUGUUUCCUUUAUUUCCAAGGACUCUUGAGUACAUAAAGAAACUUUUGCAGGCUCAUUGAUAUAAACCCAAUCAAAAGCUAUUUGUGGAAUUGGGUUUCUAUUGUUUCUUCAAUUCCAAUUUUAUGCAGGGGUGAGCCCUCGACAGUUCAAGCUCUAGGAACGUAAACCCGAAGUUUCUGCUAUGUGUCUGACAUGGGGUCGGUGGAGUUCUAGGGCUUGACUGGGAGUUGCUUGCUUUCUGAGGUCCUAGUGUGUUGCUUUUGGAGUUGGCUGGCUGUAAAUAUAAUGAAUGUGGACAACCACUUUCUUCCUAAAAAUUAUGCCCCCCCUGUAGAUGAACCUUGGACAACUGAAAUUUUCAAUCAAUUGUUGCCAAAACUGCUUUGUCAACUGAAUGUGUCUCAUCUAAUGUUCUGGUACUUGUGUCUCAAUUCUGCUCUUAACUCAUCUCAGCCAUCAGUUAGCACCACUGAUACAUCUCUUUCUUCUGGCAAUGGAGCUUUGGUUGACUCCUGCUAAUAACAUUGUAUUUACUAUUUGCAUGGGAAAAGGGCUUAGAUGAAAUUGUCUUGAUCAAGGUGAUGGGAAGAGCUAUAAAUAAAAUUGUUAUGAUCGCAGAGUUGAUUAAGGCAGAGAUGAUGUUAUGCUUUUGCAUGUUCGCAAGCAACUUGAGGUGGUUCAAAUGGGUUUGAAGUUCAUUCUUUUGUGUUGAUUGAAUUGUAAAUUUGUUUGAUUUGUUCUCUUAUCAUCUUGUAAACGUAGACUUGAUUAAGUAACUUUAGAAACAUGGAUUUAUAUGUUGAAUGUUUAAUUCUUUAAACUCUAUUGAGAAAAUCCUUUCCUUGAAAUGCUUCUUGUGACGGUGGAUUGUUUAAGAUUAACUUGCCAACAGUCCACUGUCAACAUAGACAUCUGUGUAAGCCCUCUAGCAAAAAUCGCUUUCCUAUUAUCUCUUCAUGCUUCCUAUGA